CAUACGUGAUAGGGGAUGAGUAGAAUAAUAUUCUAUGAUAGUUUAGUAGUUGGCAUUGUUGGCUUCUUCAUCUGUCAUGCCUUGUUGCUAUCUUAUGUUAGUGCUAAAGACAGACUUUCGCCUGGAGAAUACAUAUUACCCACUGAUGAAGUUUACUUGAGGUCUUCCUAUAAAAUCUUCGAGUUAAAACUCAUCAGGGGGCCGACGGGCACUAGCUCUACCACUAGCUGCUAUUUGUGUAUACAGUUCACGGAGUAUCCAAUCCUGGCAAGUUCCCAACAAAUGAUUGUUUGGGUGGCUUGGCUCGGCCAAGCUCAAAUUUCUUUGGUCCCAGGGCCGGAGUUAAAAAUGGAAAGAGACGGCCGGUUGGCGGUAUCUGCUGAUCAUCAUGAAUUCCCUGUAAACGAUGAUCAACAAUAUCCAUAUGUUAUGAACACAACCGCAACUCUACUUGAUACCGGCAAUUUAGUUUUGCGAACAGUAGAGGGUCAUACCCGUACGUCGUGGCAAAGUUUCGAUCAUCCCACUGCUAAUACUUGGCUCCCGGGCAUGAUUUUGGGUAGAUUUGGGGUGAAAACUCGAGGGGUUCAGCAGCGUUGUUUGACUUCUUGGACCAGUGAGGGGAACCCUUCUCCUGGUGAUUUUAGCUUAUGUGUUGAUCCAAACAACCCCAAGCAGCUAGUUGCCACACGAAAAGGGAUUGUUUAUUGGCACAGUGGGGUCUGGAGUGGCCGCAACAAUAAUUUCCCGUUUCUUCCUGUCCUUUCGCACCAUCUCAGAUAUUUCUCUAAUGACAAUGAAAGCUAUUUUGCUUGGGAUGGAAAUGUAGACCCGCAUUCGACCUUUAUCAGAACUUUUGCAACCGGUGAAAUUUCAGUAGCGGUCAAACAUGAUAGAAACUUAACAAGAGCAUCAAUUAACUGUGAUCAUAAUGGUACUUACUAUUCCAACGUGGGGUGCGUAAGAUCAUCCAAUUGUAGUGCUGGAGACAGGUUCCGUUCAACUACUGGUUUUAUCGGAUGGGAACUACAGUUACAUGAUAUCAUGCUUGGUGACUGCAAUGAAAUGUGUGUAAACAAUUGUUCUUGCAACGCCUAUGCUACACUUGAAUCUGAUGGAACAGGCUGCAAGUUUUCUACUUCCACUGCUUACCGUUACGUGUCUAAUGGGGGCGAAACUUUUUACAUUCGAGAUGCAAAAACAGCAAAGCAAAGCCAUCGUCCUCCACCUCGAUAUCCUGCUCUUGCUUUGACAAGGAGAAUGUCACACCACAGAAGAACAACAAUUGUAGUUGCUCUUACAGUAACGUUGCUUGUGACACUUUCUGUUGUUUUCCUAGUAUGGUAUAUGAAUCGAAGAAAAUGUUGCAGUUGCUUCCAAGCCCCAAUUGUACCGUCGACGCAACAACUUGCUAGUAAGGAUGACGACUUACCUUUCUUCAAUUUCAAAAGCAUAGAGAUCGCCACAAAUUACUUUUCUGAUGAGAAUAAGCUUGGUCAAUGAGGAUUUGGCCCUGUAUAUAAGGGGAUAUUAGCCAAUGGUCAAGAAAUUGCAGCAAAGCGGCUCUCAAAAAUUUCUGGGAACGGAAUUGAACAAUUCAAGAAUGAAGUUUUAUUAAUCUCAAAAUUGCAGCACAGGAAUCUGGUUAGGCUUUUUGGUUGUUGCACUCAAGGAGAAGAGAUGAUAUUAAUAUACGAGUACCUUACAAAUAAAAGUUUGGAUUCAAUUCUUUUUGAUGCAAGAAAAAAAGCUUGUCUUGAUUGGGGAAAGCGUGUCUCCAUAAUUGAUGGGAUUACACAAGGGCUUUUGUAACUUCACAAAUAUUCAAGACUGAAGAUUAUACAUAGAGAUUUGAAAACAAGUAACAUAUUAUUAGAUGUUCACAUGCAUCCCAAGAUUUCUGAUUUUGGAACGGCAAGACUAUAGGAAGAUAGUGAUUCACCAGCAAACACAAAAAGCAUUAUUGGCACUUAUGGUUACAUGUCUCCGGAAUAUGCAAUGGAUGGUUGCUUCUCUGAGAAAUCAGAUAAUUUUAGUUUUGGAGUGAUGAUAAUAGAGAUUGUAAGUGGAAAGAGAAACAAUGGCUUCUACAAUCCUGAUCGUGUUUCAAAUUUACUUGGUUAUGCUUGGGAUUUAUGGAUAGAAGGAAGACUCUCAAACUUAAUAGAUUCAACAAUGGAAAAAACAAUAUCAAUUAUUGAAGCAACAAGAUAUAUUCAAGUAGGUUUGCUAUGUGUUCAAGAUAGUGCGAUGGAUAGACCAACUAUCUCAGAUGUGGUAUCCAUGCUUGGUAAUGAAUUAUGAGUCUUACCUACUCCUAAACAACCUGGUUUCUCUGCCAUUAUUGGCUUAAAAUGUGAGGAUGUUGUUAAUAAUUUAAAAGAUUGCUCUGCUAAUGAUGUCACAAUUACAGAUAUUGAAGGUCGAUAGCACAUAUCAUUCUCUCAUUGUUAAAAGACUUUUUGGGUAACUUUCGUUGAACAAUAAUUGUUGUAAAACUUCACCAAAGAUUGUAAAGCUAUCCUUACCCUUGAAAGUGAGACCUUGGCAAAAUGAUGUGGCUACACAAGUGGACUUUUUUGUUUUGCUUUGUUUUGUUAUUGCUUAGGUGUAAUGCAAGCUUGAUAAUCUUGGAAGCUUGCAAAUUUUAAAAAAAAAAAAAAAAACGGUUGUCGUAGGGCAGCAUGCGACAACAUUUAUGUACUUUUAUUUUAUUAUUAUUUUGUUAUUUUAUUGUAUUGUGAUGUGAUAGUGGGAUUACUUUUGAAAGUGGGAGAAUAUUGCAUGGAUGUAAAGAAAUAGUGAAAGAAUUGUAAAUUUGAUGAUGUGGAGGUAAAACUCACUUUUGUAAGUGAAAGAGUAUUUCAGGGAUAAAAGAUAGACUAAUAAGUGAAA